rnacentral:rRNA from 1 species
AUGCCCAGGCUGCUGCUGAACCUCCUCUUCCUGCUCGGCCACCUACGUCGCCUCUCCUCCUGGCUGCUCCGCCUCGUCGGCGCCGGCGUCGACGACGACCUCUGCUUCGACUACUCCAAUGCCUCCGACUUCGCCUACUUCGCCGACCACCACCAGGAACAAUACCAACACGAACACCACGACCACGGCCUGGAGGAGCACUCUCUGGCCGUGCGCUUCGACGCACUCCCGUCCGACAGCGACGACGGCACGGCACCGCUGCUGCCGGAGUGCUGCGUGGUGUGCCUCGACGACUUCCACGGCGCCGCGCGGGUGCGCCGGCCGCGCGGAUGCCGGCACGUCUUCCACCACGGGUGCCUCGACCGCUGGCCCGCCCACGGCCACCGCACCUGCCCGCUCUAUCGGGCCUCGCUCCUCCCGCUGGCACCGACAUCUCUCAAUCCCAUCCUCCUACCCAUGCCGCUGCCG